ACGACCUUACUUGAACAGGAUCUGUUCUAUAGGCUCGUACUUCUGUAUCCUUUAUCACUAAGGAGACAGGAACCUAAAUCUGGUGGAUGAAUCAUGACCGUGUGAUCAGAGCGUGAUUAACGGCUCAAUCAUUCUCGGAUGACCACGGUUGUAGAGGAUCGUUUCCAGCUGGCUUAGUCUGGCUGGAGUGGUCUCACGGUUGUCUGACAGAUU